rnacentral:rRNA from 1 species
GAUGAACGCUGGCGGCGUGCUUAACACAUGCAAGUCGAACGGUGAAGCAGGAGCUUGCUCUUGUGGAUCAGUGGCGAACGGGUGAGUAACACGUGAGCAACCUGCCCCUGACUCUGGGAUAAGCGCUGGAAACGGCGUCUAAUACUGGAUAUGUGAUGUGACCGCAUGGUCUGCAUCUGGAAAGAAUUUCGGUUGGGGAUGGGCUCGCGGCCUAUCAGCUUGUUGAUGAGGUAAUGGCUCACCAAGGCGUCGACGGGUAGCCGGCCUGAGAGGGUGACCGGCCACACUGGGACUGAGACACGGCCCAGACUCCUACGGGAGGCAGCAGUGGGGAAUAUUGCACAAUGGGCGGAAGCCUGAUGCAGCAACGCCGCGUGAGGGAUGACGGCCUUCGGGUUGUAAACCUCUUUCAGCAGGGAAGAAGCGAAAGUGACGGUACCUGCAGAAAAAGCACCGGCUAACUACGUGCCAGCCGCCGCAGUAA